rnacentral:rRNA from 1 species
UGGAAUGCUUUAUGCGUCAAAUGGAUUCGUCUGCCCAAGGAUGGGUCUGCGGCCUAUCAGGUAGUAGUGGGUGUAAUGUACCUACUAGCCGACGACGGGUACGGGUUGUGAGAGCAAGAGCCCGGAGAUGGAUUCUGAGACAUGAAUCCAGGCCCUACGGGGCGCAGCAGGCGCGAAAACUUUACAAUGCGGGAAACCGUGAUAAGGGGACACCGAGUGCCAGCAUCAUAUGCUGGCUGUCCGGGUGUGUAAAAUACACCUGUUAGCAAGGGCCGGGCAAGACCGGUGCCAGCCGCCGCGGUAACACCGGCGGCCCGAGUGGUGAUCGUGAUUAUUGGGUCUAAAGGGUCCGUAGCCGGUUUGGUCAGUCCUCCGGGAAAUCUGACGGCUUAACCGUUAGGCUUUCGGAGGAUACUGCCAGGCUUGGAACCGGGAGAGGUAAGAGGUACUACAGGGGUAGGAGUGAAAUCUUGUAAUCCCUGUGGGACCACCUGUGGCGAAGGCGUCUUACCAGAACGGGUUCGACGGUGAGGGACGAAAGCUGGGGGCACGAACCGGAUUAGAUACCCGGGUAGUCCCAGCCGUAAACGAUGCUCGCUAGGUGUCAGGCAUGGCGCGACCGUGUCUGGUGCCGCAGGGAAGCCGUGAAGCGAGCCACCUGGGAAGUACGGCCGCAAGGCUGAAACUUAAAGGAAUUGGCGGGGGAGCA